UACGUAGGGUGCAAGCGUUGUCCGGAAUUAUUGGGCGUAAAGAGCGUGUAGGCGGCCCCCAUUAGUCCGCUGUGAAAGUCCAGGGCUCAACCCUGGAAUGCCGGUGGAAACUGUCGAGCUAGAGUCCGGAAGAGGCGAGUGGAAUUCCUGGUGUAGCGGUGAAAUGCGCAGAUAUCAGGAGGAACACCAAUGGCGAAGGCAGCUCGCUGGGACGGUACUGACGCUGAGACGCGAAAGCGUGGGGAGCAAACAGG
rnacentral:rRNA from 1 species